rnacentral:rRNA from 1 species
GACGAACGCUGGCGGCGCGCCUAACACAUGCGAGUCGAACGGAGCUGAGAGAAGCUUGCUUUUCUUAGCUUAGUGGCGAACGGGUGAGUAACGCGUGAGUAACCUGCCCUGGAGUGGGGGACAACAGUUGGAAACGACUGCUAAUACCGCAUAAGCCCACGAUCCGGCAUCGGAUUGAGGGAAAAGGAUUUAUUCGCUUCAGGAUGGACUCGCGUCCAAUUAGCUAGUUGGUGAGGUAACGGCCCACCAAGGCGACGAUUGGUAGCCGGACUGAGAGGUGAACGGCCACAUUGGGACUGAGACACGGCCCAGACUCCUACGGGAGGCAGCAGUGGGGGAUAUUGCACAAUGGGGGAAACCCUGAUGCAGCGACGCCGCGUGGAGGAAGAAGGUUUUCGGAUUGUAAACUCCUGUCGUUAGGGACGAUAAUGACGGUACCUAACAAGAAAGCACCGGCUAACUACGUG